UAGAAGAAGAGUGUGACUGUGAGCCAGUGACAAACAGAGUGGCUUAAGCCUUUUGUCUCCCGCUUCCAAAAAUCGUAAUUUGAUGGAAGCCCUCCAAAUCAAAAUCCAAACUGUAACAAGUCCGCGAAACCACCAACCCCAAUUCAUGACCUUUUUCUUCUCCUCCAGGCUCCGACCGAACCCCAAGUCUUGCUUCACCUAUCCUCAUCUCAGAGCCUUCUUCUCCGCAGCUUCAGCUCCCUCGACAAACCCCAUAUCUACUCUCAGAAGCCGUGCUGUGAGAGUCAGAGUUGGAGUCUCUGAUGCCCAGCUCAAGGAAAACUGGUUAGCAUCUCUCUCUUGUCCCUUCCCUCAAGGCACUUCCACUUCUACUUCUACUGCUACCUAUGUUGGCCAUGGAGGAGAAUCCAACGGCUCCUAUUCGGCUUCCAAUUGGGUUAUUGGGGUCGACCCGGAUGUUUCCGGUGCUUUGGCCCUCUUGAAAGGCGACGACUCUGCUGAUUCUGCUCAGGUUUUUGACUCUCCGCAAUUACAAGUAUUGGUUGGUAAAAGAGUUCGAAAACGCUUAGAUGCCAAAUCAAUUGUUCAGUUGCUUUGCAGUUUUGGUGCUCCCAUUGGCACUACAGCAUAUAUAGAGCAAUCAAUUCCUUAUCCUAAAGAUGGGAAGCAGGGGUGGUGGAGUGGAGGGUUUGGAUAUGGAAUGUGGAUUGGGAUCUUAGUUGCAUUGGGGUUUUCUGUUGUUCCAGUUCCAUCUCUUGUGUGGAAGAGGAAAUUUGAACUCUCUGGAACCAGAUCUUCAAAGGAUGAUAGCAGAAGGGUUGCAUCUUCAUUAUUUCCCUUGUUGAGUUCCUCGUUGAAAAGGAAAAAGGAUCACGGGAGGGCUGAGGCUCUACUCAUUGCUGCAUAUGGCAAAGACAUGGAGAUGAAGUUGGACUCUUCAUUAACCUUAGAGAAAAUAGUGUCUUAAAGUUGGAGAACACCCUGGCAUCUCUAUUUUUACAUCGCUCCAGGAUAUAAAUUUUUUGUGCUUCUGGCGUCAGUCAUUUGAGUGUGAUGGGAUAAGUUAUAAGGCGAUCAAGGAUGUGGCUUUCAGAGAUUUCAGCCUUUAGUGCUUGGCUAUUUCUCUUAAAUUCAUAAGACUGGUUAAACUACCAAACUGGAGUUGCAUCUCUUUAGGAUUGCUCUGGUAGAUAGGGUUCUUAUUUUUAAGCCAAUACUGGUUAUCAUGUUAGAACUGCAGAUAUUAUGUACCUUUGGCUGAUUUUGUGGAGAUUUGUUUCAAGUGUUAAAGCUGUAGUAGACAAAUUGUGUUUAAGAUGGUUGAAGCUUUUAACAGACGAUGAGUGACCGAUGUUAGCAACUACAGGAACCUCUGUUACACUUAUGCUUUCUGGGCUUGGCUAUUUUCAGAUAAAUCAGGUUUGUUCUUCCGAAAGCUAAGGGAAAGAUCAAUGUUGGACUAUCUAUGUUGGACUAUCUAAGGAUUUCAAUCAUGACAUAAGGAAUUUGCUAAGUGGUGGUAAUGAAGUGAUGACAAAAACUGAAACUUGGAAAGGAUCGAAAAUCAGAUUAUUUUCCUUCAUUUGGGUUUAGCUGACAGAAGUAGUAGAUAAUCAGUUGGAAAAUGGAAUAUAUAUUAUGUUGAUUAUUUCCUUAGUUGAAUGUUUUUAUUUGUGGGCGUCUUUUUCUUUUUUUUUUUUACCCUUAUAUCCUUUGUUGAUGUAAUUUUAUGUAGAUAAGAAUAUUUAUUUUGUUAGAAGGAAAAUUCCAUCCUAUAAACUUACAUUUGAGAUGCAAAGCAUCAUCUUAGAAACCAAUCAAAAUGUGAGAUUUUUUUUA